UUAGACCAUGCCUGUAUGGAUGCCCCUCUUUAAAAAGGGGAUAAUAAGUCACAUUCGGAUUAUAGUGAAGGGAUUCAAUGUCAGGAAAUAGUUGAAGGAAGACAGUAUGUUUAAUAUGGAAAAGAGAAGGCCUCACACAGACUCUGCUGAUAGUCUUCAAAUAAGUAAGAGAGUGUGCUUUAGAAAAACAUUAUGUUUGUACUAUAGGACCUAGAGUACCCCAGAAAUAAGAGGGGUAGACAGAGGCUAUGGGAAGAUUUCCAUUCAGCUUAAUAAAGAACCUUGAAAACAUUUGCUUCCCAAAGGUGGAAGGGAUUGCUUUAUGAGGUUUCAUAUCAUGUUGCAGGGUUGCAAAUGUAUAAGCCUUCUGGGGCUAGGUGGUAAAUAAAUAUAACAGAGGUUAAGAGUAUCAGACCAUAGGGAGUGGUGAGGAUUGACAAACUGGAGACCAUGUCCCUGCCUAAAGUCAUUUUGAUUCACUUUUUAAAGUUAUAUUGACCAGCUAAAAACUAUAUAUGGAUAGGGCCAUGACUAGCCUAUACAGAGCUUUUGUGCCAGUUAGAAAAAAAUGUGUUUCUUUCUUAUUUUAUUUCCUUCUUUUAGAAAAUCGUCUUACUAUUUCUUUUUAAAAACAAGGCACUUUACUGUCCUGGAAAUGGGUGAUAAAUCUACAACACUGGUGGCCCUAUGGUUGGCAGGGUCCUAUGGUUUGUAGGACCCUAUGGAUGGACUGGAUUCAUAGCCCUAUGGAUGGAUUGGAUUCAGCCCUCUGGAGCCCAGGUUACAACCCUUGUGACUGUAAACCUGUUUCUGAAUGUAAAACUGAUGAAAUUAGGAGAGAAAAGUAUUGGUCUAAUAUUAUCAGACAGCAAAAUCAUAGUGUUCAGGCUAGGAAGACCCUAGGAACAUGGGAGGCACAGCAUCUACCCUCAGGGAGGUUUGGGGCUGGAGGAGGAAGCAGGUGAGUUAGCAGAGCAUCGUGGCACUCGAGGUGUCAGGAGAGAAUUCAUCUGUGGUAUGUGUAUUCAGGGCAGACAGCAGGUCAGUUCUACCUAAAGAGGAGUGGGGGGACAGAUUUAAUAGAGGAGGUGAGGCUUGGAGAGAAAACCUUGAGUGUGACAACCUUCACAUCGUGGCAUCCUCUCUCCUGGGAAGUGAGACUGUCAGUAGAGGAGGGCCCUUUGGGCUGAGCUCAGAACCACAUACAUUCCAUUUUGCCUAGCCCUUUGUAGCAUCAGUUUUUCAUGCUGGAGAGCUGGAAACAAGAGGAAAGGCAGACUAUUUGUUUUAAAGCCCGUCUUCCAAGUCAUAUUGAAUGUUCUUAGGCCUCCCACAUGGUAGAUUGAGGCUGACUCAGGGCCAUAGACUGGGCAGAGAUCACUGGCACAGCCUGUACACCAGCUCUUUAGCUGCCCUCACCUAAACCUCUUGACUUGGUCCCUUAAUCCUUAAUUAAUCUGGAAUCCACAGGUUGCACAGGGAUAUGAUUCCUAGAUACUGUGACUCUCGAGUCCCUUCUCCUUUCCCACUACUGCUGCUUGUGUCCCCAGAUGCCUGGACUUCUCCAACGGCCUUUCUCUUUAGAGACGUCCACAAUCUGCUGAAUACAUAGUUGUGUUUAGGUCACUUUUGCAUUCAAAAACCCCUCAAUGGCUCCCUAUUGCCUUUUCCCAUCAAAGGAAGACAAAUUCCUCAGCCUGAAAUUCAGAAUCCUCUUAACAGCUUCGCUACCCUUCUUUCUAAAACAUCUGUUCAUCUUCAACUCUGGUGAGCGCUUUGUUCUAGCAAGUGGUUCCUCAUCUGCAUCUUUGCGGAGAUUUUCUCUAGGGGAAGAAAGACCUUGGAUAGGGCAAGGUAGAAAACCUGCUUUUUUUCCUAGCUCAAAAACCAACUCCAUGUAUGACUAGUCAAACCACUUAACCUCUCUGGGCUCAGUUUCCUCCUCUGAAGAAAACAGGACUUUGGACAAGAGCAGGGAUCUGGGACCUAUUUGUUGAAUUCAGUUAUAUGCACUCUUUCUCAUCACUAUGGCUUAUCUAUUAUGGGUGCACUACAGGUGCACUGAGCUCUUUGUAAGCAUUUUCUCAUUUCACAUGAGUGGUAGUCAGCCUUCAAGAUGGUUCCAAUGAUGCUUGCCUCCUGGUAUUCAUCUUUGUGAAUCCCCUCUCACAUUAAAUCAGAGCUAACCUGCCAUCUGUAGAAUACUUACAGAUGCGGUGUGUGAUUUUUGAGGCGAGGUCAUAAAAGGCAUUGUCAACUUCCUCCUUGGUCCCUUGAAUUGCCCCUUCUGGGGGAAGCCAGACACCGUGCUGUGAGGACACUCAAGCAGCAAUGUGGAGAUGGCUAUGGAGAGAAGACCUCCCACCAACAGCCACCACUGACUUGCCAGUCCUUUGUUAACAGCCAGCUUGGAAGCAGAUCUUCCAGCCCCAGUUAGGCCUUCAUGUGACUGCAGCCUCGCCGAAGACCCAGAGCUAGAAACAUCUAGCUGAACUGCCCCCAGAUUUCUGAUCCAAAGAAACUAUGAGAUAAUAAAUGAUCAGUGUUGUUGUAAGCCCCUAAGUCUUUGAGUAAUUUGCUUCAUAGCAAUAGAUCACUAAUACUAUUUGUAUUAUCUCUGACAGAUGAGGAAAAUGAGGUUCAGAGCAGUUUAAUAGCCCAUCUGAGGUUGCGAACUGGUGAGUGACAGGACAGGGAUGCAAAUCCAGGUCUGCCUGACUUCUUACCCAUCACGUUAUACGCCUCAUGCCUCAGUGUCCCUCUGCCAGGUUCAGAGGAGAUUGCUGAACUAGAAGAUUGAAUUGAGAUUGGAGUCUUCCUGGAAUAAAUAAAAGAACAGUCACUAAAGGGUAAUGGGAUCCAUUUAUUAUUCUGCCAGGCUCCUUUGCAUACUAUUCUAACAAACUCCUUGGGUGAAUAAGAACCAAAGCCGGUCUUUAGAACACUGGGACUCACAGAUGGAGGAUGGGAAAAGUGCUGUGCUCAUGGAAAAAAUAUUUCAUUUGUUGACUUGGCUUUAAAUUGUAUUACAGUUGAAAAUGGGAGAAGCACUUGUGGUUAAUUUAACAGAUCCAUUAGUGAAAGGACCCUUAGAAAUCUGUCGAAACUUUUUAUUAUAUAAAUAGGGAAAUUUCUCAGAUGGGAAAAAUAACUUGCUCUAACUCAAAUUACAAGAGCCACAUGUCACUUGUUCAUCAUUUUGUGGCCAAACAACUCUAUGCAGGUUGUUCUGAAUCAUAGUUAUUAUCCUUGGACUGUUUGUUAAUGGUUGUUACUGACUCUUAAUGGUCUGUGUUGUUUACCUUCCAAGGGUCUAACAUUUUAACAUGUAAAAGAACCUUGUAGCAUAGGAAGAAGAAGGUUUCGAUGGUAAAAUCAACCCUAAGGCCACCUAGUAAACUCAAUGAGCAGGGGCUCUUAACCUGAGGUCCUUAGAAGGGCUUUAACCUGCUGGGUGCAGUGGCUCUUGCCUGUAAUCCCAGCACUUUGGGAGGCCGAGGCGGGCGGAUCACUUGAAGUCAGGAGUUUGAGACCACCCUGGCCAAUGUGGUGCAAUCCCGUCUCUACUAAAAA